rnacentral:rRNA from 1 species
CGCGGUAUUAUGACCGUGCGAAGGUAGCAUAAUCAUUAGUCUUUUAAUUGAGGGCUGGUAUGAAUGGUUGGACGAGAAAUGAGCUGUCUUAAGUUUUGAAAAUUGAACUUAACUUUUAAGUGAGAAGGCUUAAAUAGACUAGAGGGACGAUAAGACCCUAUAAAGUUUUGACACUAAAUUAAUUAAAGGUGAUUUGGGUUAUAAAGUUUUAUUAUUAAAUAAGUGUUUAGUUGGGGCGACUAGGAUAUAAGUGAUUUAACUGUUUCUUCGUUUAAACCAAAAAUAUUUGGGUUUAUGAUCCUUUUUUAGGAUUUUUAGAGUAAAUUACUUUAGGGAUAACAGCGUAAUUUUUUUUGAGAGUUCUUAUCGAUAAGAGAGUUUGCGACCUCGAUGUUGAAUUAAAAUUUCUUUGUGGCGCAGCAGUUGCAGGAGGAGGUCUGUUCGACCUUUAAAUUUUUACAUGAUUUGA